GUAUGCAGUGAAGGUACUUGUGGACUGAGAUGUGGAUUCAUACGGCAACAGAGCUGUUGGGACAGAUCACACAAGUCCACUGGAACACUGUAACACUUGGUGAAGAGAAACAGGAUUGUCCUUUCACACUAUUGCCUGGCCAGAGGAGGUGGAGAAAUAAAUGCCAGCCUGAAUUGCAUUUGCUUAGAUUCAGCAAUGCCUUGGAAUGAGAGUCAGCAAAGCUGGUUUUAAGUUAAUGAUGGAGCUACACGCAGCCCUCAUGGAGAACAUGUGCAACCCAUCACAUUCCCCUUUGAUGCACAUGUCAGCCCUUGAGAAAAGUAGAAUGAGAUGAAUAAAACCACUUCACCAAGAUUA